rnacentral:rRNA from 1 species
AUUGAACGCUGGCGGAAUGCUUUACACAUGCAAGUCGAACGGCAGCACGGGGGCAGCCCUGGUGGCGAGUGGCGAACGGGUGAGUAAUACAUCGGAACAUGCCCGGUCGUGGGGGAUAACGUAGCGAAAGUUACGCUAAUACCGCAUACGAUCUGAGGAUGAAAGCGGGGGACCUUCGGGCCUCGCGCGAUCGGAGCGGCCGAUGUCAGAUUAGGUAGUUGGUGGGGUAAAGGCCUACCAAGCCGACGAUCUGUAGCUGGUCUGAGAAGACGACCAGCCACACUGGGACUGAGACACGGCCCAGACUCCUACGGGAGGCAGCAGUGGGGAAUUUUGGACAAAGGGCGCAAGCCUGAUCCAGCCAUUCCGCGUGCAGGACGAAGGCCUUCGGGUUGUAAACUGCUUUUGUACGGAACGAAAAGGCUCUGGCUAAUACCUGGGGCUCAUGACGGUACCGUAAGAAUAAGCACCGGCUAACUACGUG